rnacentral:rRNA from 1 species
GGAAUCUUCCACAAUGGACGAAAGUCUGAUGGAGCAACGCCGCGUGAGUGAAGAAGGGUUUCGGCUCGUAAAACUCUGUUGUUAAAGAAGAACAUAUCUGAGAGUAACUGUUCAGGUAUUGACGGUAUUUAACCAGAAAGUCACGGCUAACUACGUGCCAG